rnacentral:rRNA from 1 species
AGAGUUUGAUCCUGGCUCAGGACGAACGCUGGCGGCGCGCCUAACACAUGCAAGUCGAACGAGCGAGAGAGAGCUUGCUUUCUCAAGCGAGUGGCGAACGGGUGAGUAACGCGUGAGGAACCUGCCUCAAAGAGGGGGACAACAGUUGGAAACGACUGCUAAUACCGCAUAAGCCCACAGCUCGGCAUCGAGCAGAGGGAAAAGGAGCAAUCCGCUUUGAGAUGGCCUCGCGUCCGAUUAGCUGGUUGGUGAGGUAAUGGCCCACCAAGGCGACGAUCGGUAGCCGGACUGAGAGGUUGAACGGCCACAUUGGGACUGAGACACGGCCCAGACUCCUACGGGAGGCAGCAGUGGGGAAUAUUGCACAAUGGGGGAAACCCUGAUGCAGCGACGCCGCGUGGAGGAAGAAGGUCUUCGGAUUGUAAACUCCUGUUGUUGAGGAAGAUAAUGACGGUACUCAACAAGGAAGUGACGGCUAACUACGUGCCAGCAGCCGCGGUAAAACGUAGGUCACAAGCGUUGUCCGGAAUUACUGGGUGUAAAGGGAGCGCAGGCGGGAAGACAAGUUGGAAGUGAAAUCUAUGGGCUCAACCCAUAAACUGCUUUCAAAACUGUUUUUCUUGAGUAGUGCAGAGGUAGGCGGAAUUCCCGGUGUAGCGGUGGAAUGCGUAGAUAUCGGGAGGAACACCAGUGGCGAAGGCGGCCUACUGGGCACCAACUGACGCUGAGGCUCGAAAGUGUGGGUAGCANACAGGAUUAGAUACCCUGGUAGUCCACACCGUAAACGAUGAUUACUAGGUGUUGGAGGAUUGACCCCUUCAGUGCCGCAGUUAACACAAUAAGUAAUCCACCUGGGGAGUACGACCGCAAGGUUGAAACUCAAAGGAAUUGACGGGGGCCCGCACAAGCAGUGGAGUAUGUGGUUUAAUUCGACGCAACGCGAAGAACCUUACCAAGUCUUGACAUCCUGUGACGAACAUAGAAACAGUAGUUUUCUUCGGAACAAAGAGACAGGUGGUGCAUGGUUGUCGUCAGCUCGUGUCGUGAGAUAUUGGGUUAAGUCCCGCAACGAGCGCAACCCUUACUGUCAGUUACUACGCAAGAGGACUCUGGCAGGACUGCCGUUGACAAAACGGAGGAAGGUGGGGAUGACGUCAAAUCAUCAUGCCCUUUAUGACUUGGGCUACACACGUACUACAAUGGCGUUAAACAAAGAGAAGCAAGACCGCGAGGUGGAGCAAAACUCAGAAACAACGUCCCAGUUCGGACUGCAGGCUGCAACUCGCCUGCACGAAGUCGGAAUUGCUAGUAAUCGUGGAUCAGCAUGCCACGGUGAAUACGUUCCCGGGCCUGUACACACCGCCCGUCAA